rnacentral:rRNA from 1 species
UGGGGAAUAUUGCACAAUGGGCGCAAGCCUGAUGCAGCCAUGCCGCGUGUAUGAAGAAGGCCUUCGGGUUGUAAAGUACUUUCAGCGGGGAGGAAGGUGUCAAGGUUAAUAACCUUGGCAAUUGACGUUACCGACAGAAGAAGCACCGGCUAACUCCGUGCCAGCAGCCGCGGUAAUACGGAGGGUGCAAGCGUUAAUCGGAAUUACUGGGCGUAAAGCGCACGCAGGCGGUUGAUUGAGUCAGAUGUGAAAUCCCCGGGCUUAACCCGGGAAUUGCAUCUGAUACUGGUCAGCUAGAGUCUUGUAGAGGGGGGUAGAAUUCCAUGUGUAGCGGUGAAAUGCGUAGAGAUGUGGAGGAAUACCGGUGGCGAAGGCGGCCCCCUGGACAAAGACUGACGCUCAGGUGCGAAAGCGUGGGGAGCAAACAGG